rnacentral:lncRNA from 1 species
GUGUUGGAGGCGUGCCUGGUCUAAGGCUCCAUCCUGAAGAAGGUGCUGGAGGUGAGCAAAGACUUGAUUAACAAGACCUGCUGGAUCAACAGCUUGAGUGGUGUGAAUCCACUGAGAAUAGAUUCACUGCAAGUCCCCUUGGUGUAACCCACCCUGAGCGUUGAAGUCUUCAAUACAUACUACUGCAGCCACAACCAGGCCAUGGGUGUGAACAUCACCAGCAUUCACUAAAAUAUUAAAAUGUGCUGGUAAUGAAGACAUCAUUGCAUGAAGGGCUGAAAAGAAAGCUGAUAUGUUAGCACUAGGAUUGAAGUGCCAGAUCAAAAGAGUUUGAGACUAUGAAAUGAAAUUAGUGUACUUAGAUAGUGAGCAACUUGGAAUUUCAGAACAGGAGUCCAGCUGUGCAGUAAAGCCUUCUGGUAAAUUUGUGCCUUAUUUGCAGAGACAUUAGCCAUGUUGGAGAUACUGUUGUAUCAUCCUGUGCAAAGGACUGGGUAGUUUUCCACAAAUGGAGAGCUUGGAAAUGGAAAUAUUAAGUUGUCACAAACAAGUAAUUGUGACAACAGGAAACUGUAACCAGAGACGUGAAUGAGCCAGUUUGGCUAACUUUUGCACUGAGGUAUCUGAACUUUUUCACAAAAGCCACACUCCAUUGUACUUUAUCUGCAGGUAUACCCCUUUUGUAGAUUACAAAACUACUGACAUGGGACACAAAGUAUUAUUUGGCUCCCAAGCUUG